GGCGCCGCGCGGGAAACGCUGGCGGCCGCUCGUACCCUACCAGGCGCUCUGCCCCGCCGUGGGGUUUUGGGGGUGCUGUGGAGAAGGCAGGGCUCGGGACUCUUCCACCUCCUUGGCUGCUCUGGCCUUUGAGUUAUGCUCUAAGAUUAUCGAUUACUUUUCCGUUGUUGCUUAUUUCCCACAGCAGCAGAAUGAGAACGGUUAUUAGUUAAUAGCCAUCAGAGACAGACCAAGUGGAACACAGUCCUCGGAAAAACGCCACUCUGUAGCAUUAGUAAUUAAAACCUCACAAGGUUUGUAUUUCCUGAAGGAGGCCGUCAGUGUCAAUGCUGUACUAACGACGGUACUGUACGUAAGUUUCGGUACUGCCCCCACUUUCUUCUCCUUGACAUUGUAUUACUAAAAGCUGCAGCUACUCUCUACAGUUUUCUCAUUGGUUACUAAUGUCUGGAACAGCAGCUAGAUUAUGCAGUAAGCUCUUGGUAUGUAUUAGCUAUUAUAUAAUAAUUUAUUUGAAUAGAGUAGAACUAAAAAUUUGAAAUGAGUUAAAACCAAAGAGUUAAAAGAUUUAUGGUAGUAAAUAUUCAUACUGUUUUGUUGAUUUGGACAGUUGUCUUGAACAGCUUUGAAAGGGAACAUAUGACAGGUUUCGUUUAUAAUUUUAAUUGAUGCUGAACUCCACUAACAUGAUAUGUGCAGCUGGUGUUACAUUAUAACUGAGUUUUUUAAUUACCCAGUGAAGAAAUUCAAGAUGUCAUGCUCUUGUUUUUCUCCAGAGUGAACCACAAAGUCUGAAAAACUGUUGUUGACGGUAUGCCUAUUAAUAACACUGUAGAUGUUUAUAUUCUGAGGUUUUCCACAUAUUAAAAGCUUCUAUCAGCUCUUCAUACCCUAUCAUCUUUCCUUAAUUUGUCUCAACUAUGUUAAAUGGGACACAAUAUAUUAAUGUGAUAAACCAAAUGAAUAUUUUGAAAAUAAGUCUAAGGGAAGCUAACAUGCACGAAGACUAUCAACUACUGUUUUUACUACUCUAUAUGCUAAUAAUACCAGAGUAAAUGUCACAUUCCAUUCACGUCUGAAAACUUUCUUUCUCAGUUAACACUCCAACAAAAACUCAGCUCUAAAAACAACAAAUGUGUUAUUAAAUUCCUGGGCCCCCUUGGCGAUAAUAAAUCUUUCUCUGGUAUUCUGCUGAAGAAAAUUACCCUGUAUCCACGAGAUCCAAUAUUAUCCUGCUCAGUUAGUUGGCUAAAAAAAGGGGAGAAGGGGGGAUUGGAGAGCAAAAGCAAUAGGUGACAUUUGUAGAGCAAUUACUCUGUGCUAGGCACUGUUCCAAGGGCUUAGCAUUUGUUAACUCAUUUAAUCCUCACAGCAAACUAUGAGGUGGUUAAUGUGGUUAUUUAUCUUCAUUUUACAGAUGUAUGUCCAAGAUUAUAGAGCUAGUAAGUAGUGGACCCACUGUAGAACAGAAGCCAGAGUCAGCCUCCAGUGGCUGACUUUCAGCCACCAUGGUCUAUUGCUUGUGUAAACAGACAUGCAAAUUCAUAAAUGCAUCUCCAGUUUAUCUAUUCAAAUCAGAACCCACAACACUCAUUUUGAAUAAAUUUUACUGCAGCAACUCUGCCUGCUGACAUCAGUAGAACCCAUGUUUGCCCUCCUCAGGCAUCAAUAAACAGCAACAGAAAAGGGAUGCAUAUAAUUUCAUAUAGAAGCUGCUAUUUAUAUUGCUUUGCAGGAAUUAACAAAGCUGCCACUUGAGGUAGAGGAAAGACAGAUUCAUUUCAAGCUCUGUUCCUUGUGUAUAUAUGUGGGUGGGUGGGUGGGUAUACAUGCCCACAGGCACGUAUGUAUUCAGUUUCUACUGUUGACACCUUGUAUUUCUUGCUCAUGGUAUUUUGCACCCUUGAAUUCAUUUAUUUGAUAAACUGUGAUAACUUGCUGACCGUUUAUCUUCCCCUCCAGGCUUUAAACUCUUUUGUUUUCCCACUGCAUUCCCCAGCACCUAACAUCUUAUGGUCAGCAUUUCCUCUGUGUUAAUAAAUAUUUGUUGGCUGAUUAUUCUUCUUGAAUCUAAUAAACUAACUGAAUAAUGGCAGCAAUUAACCAUUAAACGACACUGACUACCAAUAGACAUUGUUAUGCUUCUUCCUAGACUUCUCAGUCCUUUAUGUGGAGCUGGGGGCAGGAAGAAUUGCUUCUGGAAGCUGAUGGAGUUGGACAUGUGGCUUUCUAGAAUCUGGAUGUGAUGGUGCAGGAAAAACUCCUGCCCAUUGAGAGGGCUCCGUAAGUGCUUCCCAAAAGAGAAUGAGAAGGAAAAGGAGAUCUCCACAGGAACUGCCUCCUUGGAUCCAGGGCAAAAAUGAACCUCCUAUUGGAGAGAAGUGCCCAGCUUGUCAAGAAGUUGAAUCGGUGCAACCAGCGUUUGUGAAAGCAGCAUUUCCCAUUUCACAUAAAGUCAGCUUCUGGCCAACUGGACAAGUCUGAACAAAUAUGAAACCCACUAAAAGGCCAGUGACAGGUGCACACACUACUGACUCUGGCUAGAGGCUGUGGCAGGAAUUGGACUCAUGUCAUCCAGCGACAGUUCCACCAGCAUCUCUUGUGGCUUCCCAAGGACCAGCCUGAGGCAAACUCCUCAGUGGUGUGAAGACUUUCCAUGUCACUGGAAACCCACCACAGAGUUCUACCAAGUAACCAUGCCUCCACCAGUCCACAACAAACUUUUAAGGCCUCUCCAGUUAUGCCUGCAACCAUCCCACAUUAGCAACCUAAGUAGGCCACCAGUAGAGCUGGUCAAGAGAAAGGAUAGGUUCAAUUAAUUAUUUUUUAAUUAAAAAAAAAUAGAGACAGGGUCUUGUUAUGUUGCCGAGGCUGGUCUUGUACUCCUGAGCUGAAAUUAUCUUCCCGCCUCAGUCUCCCAAAGUGCUGAGAUUACAGGUGUGAGCCACCGUACUCAGCCAGAUAGAUUCAAUUUUUAAAACUUUAUUGCCAUUACUGUUCAGUAACCCCUUGAUAUGGUUGAAUAUUUGUCCCCUCCAAAACUUAUGCUGAUAUCUAAUCCCCAAUGUGACACUAUUGAGAGCUGGGGCUUUUAAGAUGUGAUUAGGUCAUGAGGGCUCCACCUUCUGAAUGGAUUAAUCCAUUCAUGGAUUAAUGAGUUCAUGGGUUAAUAGAUUAAUUUAUCUUGGGAGUGGGAUUAGUGGUUUUAUAAGAAGAGUGAGACCUCAGCUAGCAUAUUAGCACUCAGCUCCCUUGGCAUGUGAUACCACCUUGGGACUCUGCAGAGAGUUCCACCAGCAAGGCCUGUACCAGAUGCAGCCCCUUGACCUUGAACUUUUCAGCUUCCAGAACUGUAAGAAAUAGGCCAGGCAUAGUGGUUUACACCUGUCAUCCCACCACUCUGAGAGGCCAAGGCCAGUGGAUUGCUUGAGCCCAGGAGUUUGAGGCUUCAGUGAGCUAUGAUCAUGCCAUUGCACUCCAACCCAGCCUGGGCAACAGAACAAAACUCAGUCUCAAAAAAAAAAAAAAAAAAAAAAAAAAAAAAAG